rnacentral:tRNA from 1 species
CGGCAGGUGGCGUUGCGAUUAGCGCUGCUGCCUUGCAAAUGACGGACGUGGGUUCAAGUCCCACCUCCUGCUGA